rnacentral:rRNA from 1 species
CAUGCAAGUCGAGCGUGAUUCUUAAACUUCGGUUUUUGAUGAAAGCGGCGAACGGGUGAGUAACGCGUGGGAACGUGCCCUUUAGUAUGGAAUAGCCCGGGGAAACCUGGAAUAAUACCAUAUACGCCCUUCGGGGGAAAGAUUUAUCGCUAAAGGAUCGGCCCGCGUCUGAUUAGGUAGUUGGUAAGGUAAAGGCUUACCAAGCCUACGAUCAGUAGCUGGUUUGAGAGGAUGAUCAGCCACACUGGGACUGAGACACGGCCCAGACUCCUACGGGAGGCAGCAGUGGGGAAUCUUGGACAACGGGGGCAACCCAGAUCCAGCCAUGCCGCGUGAGUGAAGAAGGCCUUCGGGUUGUAAAACUCUUUCAACGGUGAAGAUAAUGACGGUAACCGUAGAAGAAGCCCCGGCUAACUCCGUGCCAGCAGCCGCGGUAAUACGGAGGGGGCUAGCGUUGUUCGGAAUUACUGGGCGUAAAGAGCAUGUAGGCGGACUGGUCAGUCAGUGGUGAAAUCCCGGAGCUCAACUCCGGAACUGCCUUUGAUACUGCCGGUCUAGAGUUUUGGAGAGGUGAGUGGAAUUCCGAGUGUAGAGGUGAAAUUCGUAGAUAUUCGGAGGAACACCAGCGGCGAAGGCGGCUCACUGGCCAAAAACUGACG